UACAAAUAACAUUAAUUUGGAACGGGGGCACCUAAUCAGUGAUACCUAGUAGCUCGUAUUGGAUACCUCUCAAUCAUUAACGAUACUAGUUUCAGCAUAGUUGAAUUUAAAUUUUAAAAUAAAAUAAAAAAAUGAUAUGGUUAAUAGCAGCUGGCGUAGUGGCCUUUUUAUUAUGGUAUAGUUUCAUUUGGCCUUUAAAUCGUUUUACACGAAUGGGCGUUAAACAAACAAAACCAUGGCCAUUGUUUGGAGAUUCUUGGACCUCUAUAUUCAAAGUGAAAAGUGUGAGCGAACAUGUAUCAUGGAUUUAUAAUAUGCACCCUGAUACCAGAUAUACUGGAUUUUUCCAAUUUGCAACACCUUCGAUAAUGCUAAGAGAUC
rnacentral:lncRNA from 1 species